rnacentral:lncRNA from 1 species
GCCCGAACGUUGGGUCUAUAUUUUAGUACUUUUCAAUCGUUUAGAAUUAUUAAACUGAAUUGCAGGGAAAACUGCACUGAAAGGUAAUACAAAUACUAAUACGGAAAUACGUACAAUUCAGUGAACACUCAUAUUUUAACUGAUCGUUUUGAUUUCUCUUAACAUUCUUUGAAAAUAAUUAUAACAAAAUGUUUCUUAUUUUUCUUUUUCAUAUAAAAUUCUAUUAUCAAAAAAUUGUUUUGUUUAUGUUGUUUGAGGACUGUUAAAUUUCUACGUAUAUUUUUGCUUAAAGAAAAAGCUUGAUUGUUGACUCCGACCACUUUCUUCUUGAAAACCAAAAAACUAUACAAAUCUGUGUUAUUCAUUUGCCAUUAUUUUCAUUAUAACGCUCCAGUUUGCGUGCAAGAAAUGUUUCUGUCAUUUAACUUUUAUUAUUAUAAAGGUAUAGUGAACAAUAUGAAAAUAUUACAUACAACUAGAUCAAAAUGAAUCAGAUCAUAUUUUGAUGAAUUUCUGUUAGAUAUAUUUUUCUUAUAUUAUAGUACUUUGACUGGAUGGAGCAGAUCCAGGUGUCAUAAUAUGUUCUUGAAGAAAACUUAUUUGUAUUGUUCAAUUAUAUUCAUUAUUCUAAUGCUUCUAUGUCAUUUUCAGAUUUAUAGAUCUCAGCACAAUAUGCCACUUUUAUCUAUGUAUCUGAGAAACGAGAAAUGGAUGUACCCCGAAGAGUGCCAUGUACCAGGGUAACCCCACAACAUUCAAAUAGGAAAUAUGGAAAAUCCACUUCCUUACUUUUU